ensembl:snoRNA SNORA63 Small nucleolar RNA SNORA63
AAGCAGGAUAUCUACAGUGCAGCUGUUGUGGUGCUGUUUUGUCGUUCCCCCUGCUAACAAUAACCUGUUUCCAAGCUAUCCCUGUCUGCCUAACACCCAGACAGCCAGGGACGCAAGGUCUCAGACAA